rnacentral:lncRNA from 1 species
UUUUGUUGAAUUCAUGCAAUGUAGGUGAUUCUAUGGAAAUAGUGGAAUUCAGGAGAAAAGAGCCGAAAAAGGACCAAAUUGGAGCAAAAUGAAAAUUCAGGGACCAAAUUGCAAUUAUCUGAAAGUUGAUCCGAUGAACACAUCAAGCAAUUGAUCAAGCUAAGCACCAAUUGGAAGUUAUAAUGGAACAUUGGAGCAACUAGAAACAAGAGAGGAGGUCAAGGAGUGAAGGAAUGAAACUUGAGGAUCAAAAUGACUCAAUUUAGAAGUUCACUCUACUAUGCGGUCGCAUAGUAGAAAACCUAUGCGAUCGCGAGUAACCCUCCAGGGAUUAAAAACGCCAAAAUCCAUAUACCUAUGCGGUCGCAUAGGUUAUGCCUAUGCGAUCGCAUAGGUAUAAUCUGUGCCCGAUUUUUGCAGUUUCCUUAUAUGAUUGCAACUCCUUUGGUAACUUAAUUUCGACGUGUUUAAAUAGCAAAAAAUGUCCAGAAGCCGGAAGGAACGAAUUGCGAGGUAAAAACAUUCAUUUUGGAGAGGAUUUGAAGGCAAGAACAAGG